UAACUUUUUUGGCAUAAAAUCAUAAUCACAAUUAAUUCCACAACUAAUAUUUAAACUUAUAGAAAAAACUAAAAUAUCAUGAGACGAAAAAUAUAGCGUGACGGAUUUGGAUUGAUAUGAAAUAUAGCAGGACUGGUUUAGAUUGAUAUAACACAGAUUAAAU
rnacentral:sRNA from 1 species